rnacentral:rRNA from 1 species
AUUGAACGCUGGCGGCAGGCCUAACACAUGCAAGUCGAACGGUAACAGAAAGCAGCUUGCUGCUUUGCUGACGAGUGGCGGACGGGUGAGUAAUGUCUGGGAAACUGCCUGAUGGAGGGGGAUAACUACUGGAAACGGUAGCUAAUACCGCAUAACGUCGCAAGACCAAAGAGCGGGACCUUCUGGCCUCUUGCCCUCGGAUGUGCCCAGAUGGGAUUAGCUAGUAGGUGGGGUAAAGGCUCACCUAGGCGACGAUCCCUAGCUGGUCUGAGAGGAUGACCAGCCACACUGGAACUGAGACACGGUCCAGACUCCUACGGGAGGCAGCAGUGGGGAAUAUUGCACAAUGGGCGCAAGCCUGAUGCAGCCAUGCCGCGUGUAUGAAGAAGGCCUUCGGGUUGUAAAGUACUUUCAGCGGGGAGGAAGGGAGUAAAGUUAAUACCUUGGCUCAUUGACGUUACCCGCAGAAGAAGCACCGGCUAACUCCGUG